rnacentral:lncRNA from 1 species
CUGAAACGGUAUAUAAAGCAAAGCGACGCGUUCAUCCGGUCUCAUUCUUCUGCAGUUCCUCAAAGGCGAGUCUAGGUAAUUCAUUGUUUCCUUUAAUCGCAGUUGUCUAAUGUAAUAUUGGUUGUCGUUGUGUAAUGUAGAUAUUUGUUAUCCAUCAUAAGAGGUUUUAUUUUAAUAUUGUUUUAAUUUAACUAGAUUCUGGAAAAAAGGGCGUCGCUAGGUCGCAGUGCGGUCCACGUGUUACAGGCCUCGAACAUGCGCUAAAAUUAAUAAUUAAAUGCUAAUAUGCUUCAACUAGGUUUCGAAGGAAAUAUUUUAAUAUUAAUCUGACUAAACCAAUUAAUUAACGUUUAAUUCAGUAGUGGUCCACGUGGUUGGUAGGUGUGUUGUAGCGACUCAUUACCUCAUGUUCAGAUGAUGAUACAUGAUGUUGGUAGGGACAUCUGAGAAUAUAUGAUGAGUACCAACAUCUCUGAUGUGCAUGGUUCUGCCUGCAAUAUUUUGUUUAAUGUAACUUGCAAAGCCUUUGAGUGUUUCGCUCUCUCUCUGUCUCUUUCUCCAGUAUCCGGGGUAUUGAUUGAUUGAACGCGCGAGACGACUGGUAUGUGAACCUUAAGUUUAUUUUAAGUCUAUUCUGGAUGGUUUACUUGCUUAUGAUGAAUAAAAUGCAUAAGAGUAGUGGACAGGAGUGGUUUCUGAAAACUUUUACACUGAAGCAUUGUAAAGUUUUUAUUCGAGGAUGUAAUGUUGACGUUUCAGUUUUAUAACCGGCUUUUUUUGCUUGCAGGACUCUGGAGCGGAUCUGGAGAAGUGUGUCCAAGGAAUGUGGUGUGACUCUGGAACACCGUGUCAAAGGAACAUGUGCAGUGAAGUUGAUUUGAAAGGUAAGCUUUUUAAAGCGUUUUCUAAAGUGACUCCUAGGCUGCAGUCGUUCACUGUUUAUGAUGAUUGUUUUAUAAAACAAUGGGAAUCUCUCUGAAUUUGACUGAAAGACAUCCGUGUACUGAAACAGUGCUUAUUUAAGACGUUAUCCUCUUUGCCUUUAUUCUGUACUAACAACGUUUCAUUAUUACAGGUUGUUUUAGAUCCUGGCACGAGCGAUGAAGAUGCCAUCAGCUGAGCACGGUAUUAAUUUUGGAUUUUUAUUUUAUUUUUUAUAUACUUUCUGUGAUGCAAAUGAUGACCGCAUAGUUCAGCAGAAAAUCCAUGAAGAACGCUAAGCAUUGUCUUUCGCUCCUAGCUGAUGCAUCACUGGUGUUCUAGAUCUAUGUCUUUGUAGUUGCGGUGUCUUACUCUUGUUUGUGUUUGCAGCGCGGUGUCUUACUCUUGUUUGUGUUUGCAGCAUGAGUUCUGCAGGGGUGCAAGCAUCUCUGGUGAGUUUGAGAUUCUGAAAUUUGUUAUAUGUAAGAUAUGAUGCAAAUGAUGACCGCAUAGUUCAGCAGAAAAUCCAUGAAGAACACAAAGCAUUGUCUUUCGCUCCUAGCUGAUGCAUCACUGGAGCUCUUAUAUCUUUACUUGAGUUGUUGCUUUGUCUUACACUCUUUUCUCUUUGCAGAAUGAGUUCUACAGGGGUGGAAGUGUUUACUUUAAUUCUGGCUGUGGAAAGAUCAGCAGCUGUCUGAAUGUUCUUCAGGGUAAGUGGUUAACUUGAAUUGUGAAUGGAACCAAGGUGGUCUCAAACUGAUGAGUUCGAAUCAGGUCUCUGAUCUUUUUGAGGACAUGUUAACACAUUCUGACUUAAGACCACAUAAUGGUGCAUUUUAACUCCUUAAAAGCAGGAUGGUGAGUUUAAUUGUCCUUUUGUGUCUUUUAGGACUGAUCGGCAUGAUGUGCUGAUGGGAGUCACUGUUAAGUUUAGGGUUUUUUUUUUUUUAUUUUUAAUUUAUAUUAGCUCUGGCUGAUCUGGUCACAUGAUAAAAUCCUGGUCUUCAUGGAUGUGUUCUGUUCUAACAGGCAUGUGCUCAUUGACAGGUGCGGUGGUGACUGCUCCUUCAUGCUGUGUGAAUAUGAAUGCGGCAUGCACUUGUAAAGGUUAGUUUUUGUUUCCAGAUGUUCAAAAGUAUCUUUCAUGGUUGGGUUUUGUGAUGCUUUGCAAAUGUCUGACCUGAACACACAAUGUGGAUAAGCUUUGACUGAAACCCAGGUCUUGGCUUGGGGCAGAGUGUUGAAUGUGACCAACUAACUAAUGGCAGUCUCUUUUUAGGAAGCACAAUAUCCAGGACGGCUCUGGAAAAACCAGAUUGUAUAAGGUAUGUUUGACUCAUGUGUUUUUUUUUUUUUUAUUUUUUUAAAUUUUUACUUUCUAACCUAGUGAUGACAUGAUUCUUGCCAGAUGAAUCUGCUGAUUAUUAUCCUUUUACCGUUUCCAUAUAUCUGAGGUUGGCCUGCAUCCGGACUCUUCUGAACUAUAUUCCAGAGCUUCGGUUCUUGUAUUGUUUUCUGAUUUGAAGUCACUUGUCUCUUUGCAGCAAUUAAGUGACAUUUAAAUGCCGUCAUCUACAUUUGUUAUAACUAGGCCAAGUUUGUAAAGUGUCCUUACUUCAAUAAAGUUGUAAAAUCAAAGGUCUUUCAAGUUUAUAAGGUUGUUGAUGUGUGAUUGUUUGGUUAAUCUCUUAUCAGUGUUGACCAAUUAACAGGCCUUUCAGGCAUUUGGUAGUAUGCAAUAUGACUAGUGUCUUUAUACUUUGAGUACUUGUACAGAGCAUUUACACUUGGAUAUUUGCCUGAUUUUGAAAGAUUUACACAUAGCUAACAUCUG